CAAACCUCAAGCCUUGCUUGGUGAUGGGCCCCGCCUGUACGGCGGGCCCGAAACUCGUGGGCGCCCCUUAUCGGACUCCAAGCGUAGCAAAACCCUCGCUUGCGGACGAUCGGUAGGAGGCCGCCCCGGACCCCCAAAUUUUAUCAAU
rnacentral:misc_RNA from 1 species